rnacentral:rRNA from 1 species
UUGACCUCGGAUCAGGUAGGAAUACCCGCUGAACUUAAGCAUAUCAAUAAGCGGAGGAAAAGAAACCAACAGGGAUUGCCCUAGUAACGGCGAGUGAAGCGGCAACAGCUCAAAUUUGAAAUCUGGCCUCGGCCCGAGUUGUAAUUUGCAGAGGAUGUUUCUGGCGAGGUGCCUUCCGAGUUCCCUGGAACGGGACGCCACAGAGGGUGAGAGCCCCGUAUGGUUGGACACCAAGCCUGUGUGAAACUCCUUCGACGAGUCGAGUAGUUUGGGAAUGCUGCUCAAAAUGGGAGGUAAAUCUCUUCUAAAGCUAAAUACCGGCCAGAGACCGAUAGCGCACAAGUAGAGUGAUCGAAAGAUGAAAAGCACCUUGAAAAGGGGGUUAAACAGUACGUGAAAUUGUUGAAAGGGAAGCGCUUGUGACCAGACUUGUGCCGGGCGGUUCAUCCGGGGUUCUCCCCGGUGCACUCCGCCCGGUUCAGGCCAGCAUCGGUUCUCGUUGGGGGAUAAGAACGGCAGGAACGUGGCCCUCCCUCGGGAGGGUGUUAUAGCCUGCCGUACGAUACCCUGAUGGGGACCGAGGUUCGCGCUCCGCAAGGAUGCUGGCGUAAUGGUCAUCAGCGACCCGUCUUGAAACACGGACCAAGGAGUCGUCCAUUAGAGCGAGCGUUUGGGUGUAAAACCCGCACGCGUAAUGAAAGUGAAAUUAGGUGAGAGCUUCGGCGCAUCAUCGACCGAUCCUGAUGUUCUCGGAUGGAUUUGAGUAAGAGUUUUAACGGACGGACCCGAAAGACAGUGAACUAUGCUUGUAUAGGGUGAAGCCAGAGGAAACUCUGGUGGAGGCUCGCAGCGGUUCUGACGUGCAAAUCGAUCGUCAAAUAUGAGCAUGGGGGCGAAAGACUAAUCGAACUGUCUAGUAGCUGGUUACCGCCG